CCUAGUAAGCGUGAGUCAUCAGCUCGCGUUGAUUACGUCCCUGCCCUUUGUACACACCGCCCGUCGCUACUACCGAUUGAAUGGCUUAGUGAGACCUUCGGAUUGGUAUUCGGUGGCUAGAAAUAGUCGCUGUUCUCUAAAAAGUUGGUCAAACUUGGUCAUUUAGAGGAAGUAAAAGUCGUAACAAGGUUUCCGUAGGUGAACCUGCGGAAGGAUCAUUAACGAACGAAAGGUUCACUUUUGUGAAUCUUUUGGGAUCAACCAAAACCUGUGUGAUGAUUAAAAGUAUUUCGAAUGAUACCAGUACGGUGUACCAGUACGGUGUUAUCGAAUACGCUCAAUAAUAAUAAUAAAUACAAAACUUUCAACAACGGAUCUCUUGGCUCUUGCAUCGAUGAAGAACGCAGCGAAUUGCGAUAAGUAGUGUGAAUUGCAGAAUUCCGUGAAUCAUCGAAUCUUUGAACGCAUAUUGCACUCUUUGGUAUUCCGAAGAGUAUGCCUGUUUGAGGGUCAUUUGAAAAUUAAUCACGACAUGGUCAGUGUUGACUUUGUCUUGGAAUAAUGAGUUUUCCAUUUCACUUAUCUUUUGGUGACUCGAAAUCGAUGCUAGGUCUUGGCUUGUAACAGACGCGUUUAUGUUUAAAUCUUCGCAACUAAUCAAGUCUUGCUAUGGCAUGUUCUAUUUCCUACCCUUUUUUAUAAAAGGAGAAAAUUGAACAGGAACAUGAUUCCUUUUAUUUUAAUCGUGACCUCAAAUCAGGUAGGAUUACCCGCUGAACUUAAGCAUAUCAAUAAGCGGAGGAAAAGAAACUAACCAGGAUUCCCCUAGUAACGGCGAGUGAAGCGGGAACAGCCCAAAUUUUAAAUCGAUCAAAAGGUCGAGUUGUAAUUUGAAGAAUUGCUUUCCACGUCCUUAUCCGAUGAAAAGUCUCUUGGAACAGAGCAUCACAGAGGGUGAUAAUCCCGUAUUUUAUCGUGAUUUGUACGUCGUGUGUAGUAAUUUCAAAGAGUCGAGUUGUUUGGGAUUGCAGCUCAAAACGGGUGGUAAAUUCCAUCUAAGGCUAAAUAACGGCAAGAGACCGAUAGCGAACAAGUACCGUGAGGGAAAGAUGAAAAGAACUUUGAAAAGAGAGUUAAACAGUACGUGAAAUUGUUGAAAGGGAAACGAUUGAGGCCAGUCAUGCCUGCGAGAAAUCAAUCAGUUGAUCGGGUUUUCGAAUCUGAUUUGUUGGUGCACUUUUUCGCGUGGCAGGUUAGCAUCAACUUUGAUUGUUGUAAAAUGGUGGUCGGAAGGUGACUCUUUUUUGAGUGUUAUAGCCGGCUGCAGAUGCAACGAUCGGGGUUGAGGUUUGCGGCAAAUGCCUUUGGGCUACUUACCUUCCUUCUGAUAUGUUCACUUUGAAAUGACAGCUUGCUGAUGUUUUAAAGGGCGUUCAAUCAAUAAGGUAGAGUGGGAUAAAUUUGCCAAGGAUGCUGACGUAAUGACCUUAAACGACCCGUCUUGAAACACGGACCAAGGAGUCUAACAUA
rnacentral:sRNA from 1 species